CACGUAGGGCGCAAGCGUUGUCCGGAAUUAUUGGGCGUAAAGAGCUCGUAGGCGGUUUGUUGCGUCGGCUGUGAAAUCCCGAGGCUCAACCUCGGGUCUGCAGUCGAUACGAGCAAACUAGAGUGUUGCAGGGGAGACUGGAAUUCCUGGUGUAGCGGUGAAAUGCGCAGAUAUCAGGAGGAACACCCGUGGCGAAGGCGGCUCUCUGGGACGGUACUGACGCUGAGGCGCGAAAGCGUGGGGAGCGAACAGG
rnacentral:rRNA from 1 species